rnacentral:rRNA from 1 species
GCGGCUGAGGCGCAUGGGGAGGUGGUAGUACGGGGGGUGCAAGUGUUGGCGCGGAUCACGGGGCGGAAAGGGCGAGUAGGCGGCUUGAGAAGUGACGUGUGGAUGCGCGUUGGUGAACGACUGGGCGGCAGCUGAGGCGGGCGGGCGGGGUGUGGGUAGUGGCGUGGUGAAUUCCCGGUGGAGCGUUGGAAUUCGUAUAGAUCGGGAAGAACGCCGGUGGCGAAGGCGGCUCGCUGGUCCAAUGCUGACGCGGAUGCGCGAAAGCGUGGGGAGCAAACAGGAUUAGAUACCCCAGUAGUC